GGGCGUUUAGGUGACGUCACUCCGUGGACUUGCUCUCAUCGUUUAGUCCAAACGGCGGAGAAGGAGCAAAGACAGACUCAAACACAGAGACACUCCUCACUCUCAGCACCGGGAGCAUCCCUCACCCAGCCAACAACUUACACCACAAAUAUCUGCCAUCACAAGAGAAAAACAGUCACACAACGGCUGAGUCUGCCUCAUUAAUCAGAGAUGUGGGACGCCUGCUGAGGGGCUGAGCAGGUUCAUCAAUUUGGCGGCCUGUGCGCGAGAAAUGGACACUUCUGAACGACUGACUUGUCUACCUUCACCCAUGUCUUCUUCUGUGACACCUCCCUCCAAGUGCAGCCCAGCGGUCAGCUUCGUAUUCAGCCCCCCUCUCAACGCUUACGGUAGACGUCAAGCGUUUGGCCUCUACACAUCAAGCUUGGAAAAUGGUGCGUUUAGUGGUCUCGAAGGUCUGGACUUGUCUUCAGUACUUGCUGCUCCCUCCCAGUAUGGAAAAAUAGCAG